UUUGUUUGUAGAAACUCAUAGUGUGCAGUUAAUAGAAGAAGCAUGAUGAACAUUUGGUAUUGUUUUUCAGAAGACAUUUUUUCGCAUACGAUGUACAGGAUCGGUCAGUGUACUAACUUGUAGUUGAUGCAAAAUGAAUAAAAGAUUAAGUUGGGAAUUGUUAUGGUGUUUUCUCAUCUUUUCAUUCUAUACUCAAAUAACCGUACCUAGUGGCAUUUGUAACAAAGAACCACUGUUAUGCUUCACGAAUUACAGAAGAGUUAAAAAUAAAUGUGAAG